UAACAAAUCCCAGGAGCGACACGCUCCUGUUGCAAUCCAUCAGCGUCUCGUGUUCACGUGUUGUGCUAGUCUAGAUUGAUCAAGCAAACCCGGCGGAUUGCAGGUAUACGUACGUGUACGUGUGCUGUGGCCAGAGAAGAAUCGAUCGACCUGCCUGAGUGCCUGCUUGGUUGCAUAGUACGUGUGUGUUGGCCAAAAGCAUCGGCCGGCUAGAACGUGUCAAGCAACCUGGUUGUGUACGUGUGCUCCUCGACGGAAAGUACUCGUCGGGCGUCGCAUUGUACGGGACCAGUGCCAACACCACCGUAGGAGGAUCAAAUGUUGUAGAGGUGGAAGAAGCAAUGGGGGAAUCAUCAGCUGUACUUUCCGAGCACGGAGCAGCACGAGAGAGCUACUUAGAUGUGCAGACAGGGAGCGACAGUGAAGAUGAUCUGCGGUGACCACGAGUUUCUGGUUGAUGCCUUCCGAGUUCUGAUUCUAUAUAGGGCGGAAAUUGUCUCAAGAUCCAAUGCGCUACAUUAUAUACUGUACUACAGAAGAUGCUACUGCGAAGCUGAAUUUCAUUGUUAAGCAACAGCAUGGUGCUGCCAAACCUUCCAAGUUUUGCUGCUACGGACCUCCGAUGUGCUGUGAAGCUGAGCUUAGACCUUAGAUGCAGUUUGAAUGUUUUUUAUGCGGCGAAUGGCACAGGAGUUCCAUGUAUCUUGUGGGCAUGAGUGAUGGGACGAAGACGAUGGAGCAAGCUUCCAGAUCUCAGAUCGAGCUACAGUUGGCAUCUGCUGGCCUGAUGAUAAUCUAUUCUUUGGACUUUGGAGUGGAUGAUCAAUCUGAUGAGAUAACUUGCAAUUGUGAACAAAAGAGUACUUUGCUUUCUUUUGCCAAUACAAUCUCUAUGUUUCCCUUUUGUCCUUUUUUGGAGAUGAUCACUCUCUGUUUCUUGCUGCCAUAAUAUUUGUACUUCAUGCUCUUUGCCAGGCUUCCUUUGAUUCUUCACCUCGAAAUGCAGCAUCACAAAUUCACCUUGCCGCCUGCUUCGACCACCAAGUCGGCACAACUCAACUUUCCUAUGUUAUGACUGGUACAUAAGUGCAAAUGAUUUCGGUGGCCUCAAUGUAACGGAGGCGACGAUCGAUUCUUCGAAAAUACCAUGGAAUGGAUUAUCAACCAACCUGAUGCCAAGGCGUGCAAUUGUUGCUACAGACUUCCUUUGUUUGCCGUACUGCCUGCUCUGUUUUCUUUUCUUUUUUUACUAUUUAAUUUAAUUUUCUUUCUACAACAGACUAUUCUCGCUUUGUUGCUUCCAAUAUAUCUAUAUUUUCUUUUGUUGUUUAAUUCCAGAAUAACAUUAUCAUCAUUUGGCCGCCAAAAGUCAACAUUAUUUGCUUGGCUCCCUUUCAUCUGGAACCAAUCAGCAACGAGGUCGAUGCUGGGGCCGCCAUCAGCGUUGCCGCCUCUGCUGCUGCCAACGAGAUGAGCUUGCUCAUGGGCGUCACGAGGGAUAUCUGGUAUUUGUUUUAACUUUUAACAGACAGCCAA